rnacentral:lncRNA from 1 species
CUUCAAUUCAUUUGUUUCCUAUUUUAUUUCUUGAAACAUGUAUUGACUAAAGCCUCUGUACCAAUGUUUCAGGACAUGGAGAGGUAGCCGUCCUCCUCCGGCCUCUCCUCCGGUCACAUAAGCUUCUCAACUAUCUGGCUCAUCGUGGGUCUUGAGUCCCUGUCUUCCUCCACACAUUCCAAGGCAACUCCAAUCAGAAUUUCCAUCCGGCGCAGGUCGCAUUCGCCUUGCAUCACAGGGUCCAGGAUGUCUUCAAUCCACGACCCCCUGGCACCAAUCCCAUUCAUUCGAUCCCUCACCCAUUUAAUCAACCCACGCUGCUCUGUCUCUCCUUGGGCAUCAGUAUCGGGGAUAGCAGUUGGGCUCUUCCCUGUCACCAUCUCCAAAACCACGAUUCCAUAGUUAUAAACGUCUACCUUGGAGGUUAUGGGAAGGUUGAAUACCCAUUCAGGAGCCAUGUAUCCUCUGGUUCCUCUGAUCCUCGAGAAACUUGAAUUGUCAAGCCCUCCUCUGUUUCGCAGUUUCGACAUCCCAAAAUCGGCCACUUUUGGCUGGUAAUUAGAGUCCAAGAGUAUGUUCUGAGGCUUGACGUCACAGUGCAGAACCCACUCCAAGCAUUCUUCGUGUAAAUAAGCUAGGCCUCUGGCCGUGCCAAGCGCUAUUUGGAACCUCUUCUCCCAAUCAAGAGUAUUGGAAGAUAGCUUUUGUGCCAAGGAUCCAUGUUCCAUGUACUCAUACACCAACAGCCGGUGCUUCCCCUCUAUGCAAUAUCCCCACGUCUCUAUUAAGUUCAUGUGAUUAAGCCUUCCAAUGGUGCUCACUUCUGCUAGAAAUUCUGCUUCUCCUUGAUUGGCUUCUUUGAGGCGCUUGAUUGCUGCCACUCGACGAUCAAGCAAUACACCUUUAUAUACCACUCCUCCACCUCCUCUUCCAAUCUCUUGGGUGAAACCUCGCGUGGCCUUCUUCAACUUUGCAUAGCUGAAUCUUUUAAACCCGUUUGCAACGAGGAUGUAGCCUUGCAUGGUCGAGACUGGAUCAUGGUGUACCCUAAAUAAGAAAAGCCAUACCAGCAAGACAAUUGCCCCCUCUAGAACUCCCAGUACGUAGGCAAACCAAAGCAAAAACUUCAAUGACCCAUUUUCAUGGCCCUUGCGAUAUGUUGUAUCUAGCUGUAUAUAACGAGUGUUGCCUGAACAAUUCAUGGUGAAUUCUUCAAGAGUGUUGGAAAUCAAGCCAGCAUCCUCUGUUUACUUCCCUAAUUAGUGUAAUGUACAGCCUUUAUUAUAAUUGAUUUAGGAGUAAUUCUAGCAAGGUAGUUUAUUCACUUUCCAUGUAAGAGUAGUUUAUUCACUUCCCAUGUAAGAGUAGUUUAUUCACUUCCCAUGUAAGAGUUUAUUCACUUUCCAUGUAAGGGAAAUUCCAUUCCGGAAUUGUCUCAUAUCUGUAGGCUAUUUAUUUAUGCUUUCAUUCAUUGUAAAGGGUGAGAUCACGGAAUGAAUUGAGGUGUUCCUCCAUAGUUUGUCUUCAAAUUCUUCAUAUUUUUCUUCAAAUUCUUCAAAGAUGAUCAUAUCUGGGAAAGAGACUAGCUUUAGGCAGUUUUAGAUACAUGGUUCCAGGAUAAUUUGGCGAACUGAAUCCAUUAAGCAAGAGGGUAUUUGGGUAACAAUCGUAAAGGUCGUCGCUAAAAUUUAGCAGGAAGGCCUUGCAUUUGCACAACUGUAAGCAUAGAUUUUCACACCUUUCGUAGGUGUAAUUGGGGUAGUGACCAUAGUCAUAGCCGUAGAGUUGAACAUGAGGGAGUGGGAAGAAGCCCACCUCAGUUUGGUUACAAGCGAUAUCAGUUUCUGGUGCACACCCAUAAGACUAGUCAGUUGAAUUUACAAUCUUGAAUCCAGGCAUGCAAGAGCAUCCUCUGCCAUAAGCAGGGGUGUAACUGCAGAGACUAUUGGGUUCGCAGAUGCCAUGAAUCUGGCAUGGUUGGGAGAUAGCCUGCCAUGAAACCGACCAGGUUCCUCUCGUUUCUUCUAGACUAUACAUUCUAAGAUUGCCAUCGAAAUCGAGGGCCAAUCUUCUCUGAGGCCCUGCACCAAAAUCCGCUGACCGAAAUUCCAAAUCAUCUGAUGCUCUAUAAUAACCCAAAGAAUCGAAUACUGCGAUUCGACUGUUGUUGUAUGUGCUCCUUCCAGCAUCCCAGGUCACCAGGCUUAGGUCUGGCCAAUAGAUGCUGGAAACCUCAGUACCAUUGAAGAGAAGGCGGAUGACGUUAUCACUGUCAAAAAAUAGCUUAUAAAAACCAGAAGAAUAGUUGCUUUGGCUUCUUGAGGAGAUAAGGCUGGUAUCUUUGGUCAGUAUCUGGUGAGGAAGAAGAGUAUCUGUGGGUGAGUCAAAGCUCUGCCAAAUCACCGUCUUCUCCCAAGCAUAUAGAACAAGAUUGCCGGUGUUAAGGAGCUGUAAUCUCGCAGAUGAGGUUGAAACUGUCACGCCCCAAGACCCACUCCAAGGGCGUGACGGUCAUUUCACACCUCAAACCCGAAGGCUUAAAGUAUAAUCUGACCCGAACAAUCAUAUUAUAACUAGAUGUUACCAAUUACCAAAUACCUGUUCAGAGUAGCAGAACAAAAUCUAAAUUCCUCAAAAUUCAAUUUCCAAAUAACUUCCAAAUAUCAAAUGAUCCAAAUGAACAUAACUAACAGUUAAACAAAAUCCAACAUAAAAUCCUAAGUCAAAUCUUAAUGAUGACCAUUCUUCAGCCUAGCCAUCACUCCUCACCCGAACUAAGAGUACCUGAAAAUUUUCAACAAUUGGGAAUGAGCUCACAGCCCAAUAAGGAAUAUUAAUGCAAUUCAUGGAUCAAAUAUUUUCAUUUCAAAUAGGAGAUAUCAAUUUUUUUUUUUCUCAUCAAAUAUCAGAGUUCCAAAAAUACCAAUAUAUUCAAAAUUCAACCAACCAAUUUCAUAUCAAAUUCAAACACUUUCACAUAAAAUUCAAUCAAAUUCAUUCAAGUUUCAUUACUCUGGUUAUCAAAUAUCAAAUGCCCAGUUAGGUGGGACUUUUCAAAUGGGUGGCUAGCCUCAAAUUGUUCCUGGUGGACGGAACCUAAACACNNNNNNNNNNNNNNNNNNNNNNNNNNNNNNNNNNNNNNNNNNNNNNNNNNNNNNNNNNNNNNNNNNNNNNNNNNNNNNNNNNNNNNNNNNNNNNNNNNNNCCGAACUAAGAGUACUGAAAAUUUUCACAAUUGGGAAUGAGCUCACAGCCCAAUAAGGAAUAUUAAUGCAAUUCAUGGAUCAAAUAUUUUCAUUUCAAAUAGGAGAUAUCAAUUUUUUUUUUUCUCAUCAAAUAUCAGAGUUCCAAAAAUACCAAUAUAUUCAAAAUUCAACCAACCAAUUUCAUAUCAAAUUCAAACACUUUCACAUAAAAUUCAAUCAAAUUCAUUCAAGUUUCAUUACUCUGGUUAUCAAAUAUCAAAUGCCCAGUUAGGUGGGACUUUUCAAAUGGGUGGCUAGCCUCAAAUUGUUCCUGGUGGACGGAACCAAACACUACUAGUACUAGUAACCUCUAACCAAACCCCUAGAGGCUGGGGUCCAAAUCAAUUACAUUCCCACCAUGAAAUGUAAAGGUCAACUAUUAUAUCCCGUUGAUAGGGCCGAAUAGUCAAUUAUUAUAUCCCGUUGACAAGGGUCAAAUAAACCAGAGUGAUGUUUUUGUUCAAGUUUUCAAAUUUACACAACAUAAUAUCUCCAUAUUUUGUGUCAUAAAUAAAACAAAAUAUUCCAACAUAACAUUUAGUGCAAAACAAUUUGAUCCAUGCAUGGUAACAAAAUAUCAUUUUCUUUUCCACAAUUCAAAAUAACAUAUAAGAUAAUUUAAUUUUAUAAAUAUUACAUUAACUUCCCUUACCUCAAAAGAAGUCCUUGAAAGCUUGGGAGAAGAAUAAUUCUGAAAAAAAAAAUAUAAUCUACUCUUCACCUAAUAUAACAUAAAAGAAACAAUUAUUACUAUUUAUUUAUAAUUUAACUAAUCUAUUCCUUAUUAAAAAAAAAUUAAAAAAUUCCCAAUUGGUUUUUAAUAUACCAUUACUAAUUUAAUUAAAUAAUACCUUUAUUUGGCUAUAAAAUUCUAUAUUUAUAUAUUUAUAUAUGGCUAAUUUUCUUUUUCUUUUUUUACCAAAAAUACCAUUUUUAUUUUUUUUUUAUUUAAAAAUUUAAAACUAAUUUUUUUUUUUUAAUUACCCAAUUCCAACCCAUCCACCUUGGGGUACACCAAACCAAAAAGCAAGUUUUUAUUUUUAUUUUUUAUUUUUUUUUCAUUCCCAACCAGGAUCCAUUAAUAUAUAUAUAUAUAUAUAUAUAUAAAAGGGGCUUCCUGGCACACGCACCUUUUUUUUUUUUUUUUAAUAAAAUUAACCCUAACCUAAAAUCAAAACCUUCCAAGAAAUUUUUUUUUUUUUCUAAUAAAACUUAAGAUCUCCCAAAUUCCAAUACUAAAAUCAAAAUAUUAAAUUUUCACUAUUUGAUAUUAAAACGAAUUAAAAAAAUAAUCUAACCCUAAUCUAGAUUUGGGGUUUUCCAAAAAAAUAUAUCUAAUGUGUUUGAAAUUAAUCAAUGAAUCUAAAAUAUUAAACUAGGGGUUAGAAUCUUACCUAUAGAGAUCUGUUCUUCAACCCUGAAAUCUGACUCCAAUCUUACGUUCUCUGGAAUUCUACGAACAGGAAAUCUAUUCAGAAAAAAAGGGAAAAAAAUAAAAUUUCUAAUUUAUACCUAGGGUAUUUAUUCGUAAAAUUACACUUUUACCCUUCUUCCACUUUAUUAAAUUAAUUAAUUAAUUAAUUUAAUUAUUAAUAACAAUUUCCUAAAUUACCCUUAAAAGAAAAUGCUUGGGCAUUACAUCCUCCCCUCCUUAACAAAAGUUUAGUCCUCUAAACUUGACAUACCUGAGUCUUGAAAUAAUUGAGGAUGUUUUUCUCUCAUCUCUUCUUCUAACUCCCAAGUGGCCUCUCGGAUACUAUGAUUGCUCCACUGGACCUUUACCAACUUGACAACAGCAUGUCGUAGUACCUUAUCCAUCAUAUCCACAAUUUGAACGGGUACCUCUUCAUAGGUCAAGUCCUCAAAAUUUUGAAUAGGCUCCAACUCCACAACAUGAGAAGGAUCAUAAAUAUACUUCCUUAGAGUCGAAACAUGAAACACAUUAUGAACCUUAGACAAGCUUGGGGGCAAGACUACUUUAUAUGCCAAAGUGCCUACUCUUUCUAAUAUUUCAAACGGACCCACAAAACGAGGACUAAGUUUUCCUUUUCUCCCAAAUCUCAUCACAUACUUCAUAGGUGAAACUUUCAAGAACACAUGAUCACCCACCUCAAACUCCAAAUCUCGCCUACGAUGAUCAGCAUAACUCUUAUGUCUACUUUGAGCUGCUUUUAAUAUUUCUUUAAUCAAAGCAACCUUUUCAACAGUCAACUGCACAAGUUCAGGCCCCAAAAGUUUCCUUUCUCCAACAUCAUUCCAAUAGAUAGGAGAUCGACAUUUCCUACCAUACAAUGCCUCAAAAGGUGUCAUCCCAAUGCUAGCUUGAAAACUAUUGUUAUAGGCAAACUCUACUAAAGGUAAAUGAUCAUCCCAAUUACCUUGCAGGUCCAAAAUACAAGCUCUCAACAAGUCUUCCAAAACCUUAAUUACCCUUUCUGAUUGGCCAUCAGUUUGAGGAUGGAAAGCAGUACUAAAACUCAACUUAGUGCCCAAAGUUUUUUGUAGACUAUGCCAGAAUCUAGAAGUGAAACGAGGAUCUCUAUCAGACACUAUAGAAACUGGUACUCCAUGCAUUCUCACAAUCUCCUUCACAUAAAGAGAAGCUAAACGAUCUAAAGAAAAGUUCACUUUCAUAGGUAAAAAGUGAGCAGACUUUGUCAACCGAUCAACAAUCACCCAAAUAGCAUUAUUACCCCCUAAGGUUCUUGGCAAUCCUAUCACAAAAUCCAUGGUAAUAUGCUCCCACUUCCACUCAGGAAUAGCAAGUGGCUGCAAAGACCCUGCUGGUCGUUGAUGUUCAGCCUUCACCUGUUGACACACUAAAUACUGAGCCACAAAUUGUGCAAUAUCACGCUUCAUACCUGACCACCAAUAGUUUUGCCUCAAAUCCUUGUACAUCUUUGUCCCUCCUGGGUGGAUUGCAAACUUGGAACAAUGAGCUUCCUCUAAAAGCUCCCUCUUUAAGUCUUCAUCAUUUGGGACACAAAGUCUAGUCCCAAAUCUCAAGAUCUCAUCAUCUGACAAAACAAAAUCAGGCUUACUGUCCCUCUUAACUUCCUCCAUAACUUGCACUAAUUGGGAAUCAUUCUUUUGUAGGGUCUUAAUUCUCCCAACUAAGUCUGGUUGUACUCUGAAAUUUGCUACAAGUGCUCCUAAGCCCAUAACUCGAAAGUGGACUUGUAAACUCCUCAACUCUUCAAGUAACUGCCUUUGACAACCUCUAAUAGCUGCUAGAGAACCAACUGACUUCCUACUCAAGGCAUCAGCUACAACAUUCGCCUUCCCAGGAUGAUACUGAAUAAUACAAUCAUAGUCCUUAAGUAGUUCUAUCCAUCUUCUCUGUCUUAUGUUCAACUCCUUUUGGGAAAAUAGAUACUUCAAACUCUUAUGAUCUGUGAAUAUCUCACAAGUUUCACCAAAAAGAAAAUGUCUCCAAAUCUUAAGUGCAAAAACCACAGCAGCUAACUCCAAAUCAUGAGUAGGGUAAUUCCUUUCAUAAGGCUUCAACUGUCUAGAAGCAUAAGCUACAACUCUCCCAUGUUGCAUAAGAACACAACCUAAACCCUGAUGAGAAGCAUUACUAUACACCACAAAUCCUCCUGAACCUGAAGGGAUAGUCAAAAUAGGAGCUGACACUAAUCUAUUCUUCAACUCUUGGAAGCUACAUUCACAAUCAUCAGACCACUCAAACUUAACUCCCUUCUGUGUCAACUUAGUUAAAGGUAGGGCAAUCUUAGAGAACCCUUCUAUAAACCGCCUAUAGUAACCAGCAAGUCCCAAGAAACUUCGAAUCUCAGUCACAGUACUAGGUCUUCUCCAAUUAGCUACAGCAUCUACCUUGCCAGGGUCAACUGAGAUGCCAUCAUUGCUUACCACAUGCCCAAGGAAAGAAAUUCAGUCUAACCAAAACUCACACUUCUUCAGUUUAGCAUACAACUGCUUAUCUCUGAGGAUAUGUAAUACAAUACUCAAAUGGCCCUCAUGCUCCUCUCUACUUCUUGAGUAUACCAAGAUGUCAUCUAUAAAAACCACCACAAAUUGAUCUAAAUAGGGUUUGAAUACCCUAUUCAUCAAGUCCAUAAAAGCAGCAGGUGCAUUAGUCAAACCAAAAGGCAUAACAAGAAACUCAUAGUGCCCAUACCUAGUUCGAAAAGCAGUCUUGGGUACAUCUUCCCCUCUAACCCUCAACUGGUGAUAACCCGAUCAAAGAUCUAUCUUAGAGAACACACAAGCACCUUGUAACUGAUCAAACAAAUCAUCAAUCCGAGGAAGGGGAUACUUGUUCCUCACUAUCACCUUAUUCAACUCCCUAUAGUCAAUGCAAAGUCUCAUUGAGCCAUCCUUCUUUUUCACAAAUAGAACAGGAGCUCCCCAAGGUGAAACACUAGGCCUGAUAAAACCCUUGUCUAAUAACUCUUGAAGCUGAACUUUCAACUCCUUAAGCUCCACAGGUGCCAUCCUGUAUGGGGCCUUAGACAUAGGACCUAUUCCUAGUACUAGAUCAAUGGUGAACUCCACCUCUCUCUCUGGUGGCAAGCCAGACAAAUCCUCUGGAAAGACAUCAGGAUACUCUCUUACUAUAGGUAUGUCUUCCAACUUCAAAUCACUUUCAUUACUCACCAUACUAGCCAAAAAUCCUUGGCAACCCUUCUUAAGCAAGCUACUAGCACGCAAGGCUGAGAUCAUACGCAGUGGUCUGUCCACAUGCUUCCCUUCAAAGCUAAACUUAGGCUGACCAGGAAUACUAAAUGUCACUCUUUUCUCAAAACAGUCAACAGAGGCAUGGUAGGAAGCUAACCAAUCCAUACCCAAAAUCACAUCAAAAUCCUGAAGGUCAAGGAGUACUAAAUCAACUGGCAUUUCCCUAUAACCAAUCAUCACAAUACAAUUUCUAAGCAUUCUACUGGCCACAACAGAAUCUCCCACAGGAGUAGCAACAAUCAAAUCAAAGUCCAUGCUAACAACAGGCAAACCCAACAAACCAGCAAAAGAUACUGAAACAAAAGAGUGUGUUGAUCCAGGAUCAAUCAGACUCUAGCAAAUAAGGUGUGGAUUCGGAGAGUACCUGUCACCACAUCAGAAGUGGCCUGAGCAUCUCGAUGAGUCAUAGCAAACACCCGUCCUUGGGCUUUGGGUUUCUGUUUUAUCUCCUUAUUUUCCUCUUUAAGCUUCCCAGUGAUGAACUUACCUAUUCCUCUGAUCAAAUGUCCUUGCNNNNNNNNNNNNNNNNNNNNNNNNNNNNNNNNNNNNNNNNNNNNNNNNNNNNNNNNNNNNNNNNNNNNNNNNNNNNNNNNNNNNNNNNNNNNNNNNNNNNGUGAUAACCCGAUCGAAGAUCUAUCUUAGAGAACACACAAGCACCUUGUAGCUAAUCAAACAAAUCAUCAAUCCGAGGAAGGGGAUACUUAUUCCUCACUGUCACCUUAUUCAACUCCCUAUAGUCAAUGCAAAGUCUCAUUGAGCCAUCCUUCUUUUUUACAAAUAGAACAGGAGCUCCCCAAGGUGAAACACUAGGCCUGAUAAAACCCUUGUCUAAUAACUCCUGAAGCUGAACUUUUAACUCCUUAAGCUCCAUAGGUGCCAUCCUGUAUGGGGCCUUAGACAUAGGACCUGUUCCUGGUACCAGAUCAAUGGUGAACUCCACCUCUCUCUCUGGUGGCAAGCCAGGCAAAUCCUCUGGAAAGACAUCAGGAUACUCCCUUACUAUGGGUAUGUCUUCCAACUUCAAAUCACUUCCAUUACUCACCACACUAGCCAAAAAUCCUUGGCAACCCUUCUUAAGCAAGCUACUAGCUCGCAAGGCUGAGAUCAUACGCAGUGGUCUGUCCACAUGCUUCCCUUCAAAGCUAUACUUAGGCUGACCAGGAAUACUAAACGUCACCCUUUUCUCAAAACAGUCAACAGAGGCAUGGUAGGAAGCUAACCAAUCCAUCCCCAAAAUCACAUCAAAAUCCUGAAGGUCAAGGAGUACUAAAUCAACUGGCAUUUCCCUAUAACCAAUCAUCACAAUACAAUUUCUAAGCAUUCUACUGGCCACAACAGAAUCUCCCACAGGAGUAGCAACAAUCAAAUCAAAGUCCAUGCUAACAACAGGCAAACCCAACAAACCAGCAAAAGAUACUGAAACAAAAGAGUGUGUUGAUCCAGGAUCAAUCAAGACUCUAGCAAAUAAGGUGUGGAUUCGGAGAGUACCUGUCACCACAUCAGAAGUGGCCUGAGCAUCUCGAUGAGUCAUAGCAAACACCCGUCCUUGGGCUUUGGGUUUCUGUUUAUCCUCCUUAUUUUCCUCUUUAAGCUUCCCAGUGAUGAACUUCCUAUUCUCUGAUCAAAUGUCCUUGCUUCCCACAACCAAAGCAAGCUCCAGUCUCUCUAUAGCAUGGCCUACCCCCAUGCUUCUUACCACAAGUAGGACAAGCCCCAUCUAAAUUCUGCGCUGCCUUCCCUUUAUUCUGAUUUCUUCCUGAUGUAGACCUUCGCUGUGCUUGAUUACCAUGAGCACCAUCACUCCUAUUUCGCUUCCUUUGCUGUUCCCUAUACUGAUGAAGCUCUUCAUUAUCUUUCUCUGUUAUAAGGGCUCUGUCAACAACCUCUGAAUAGACACCAAGCUUCAGAAUAGAUAUCUUGUUCUUCAAAUAAGGCUUCAAUCCAUCCUGAAACUUUAAUGCCUUUUCCUCCUCUAUAGCAAUCAACUGUGGGGAAAAACGUGAUAACUUUGUAAAUUUGGCCUCAUACUGAGCCACAGUCAUAUCCCUCUGUUCCAAACGAAUAAACUCUCCCACCUUCUGCCACCUAACACUGUCAGGGAAAUACUUCUUGUAGAAAGCCUCCCUAAAUUGUCUCCAUGUUAUGGGUCCCUGAUCCUCCAAAAGUCUCUUAGUCAUACGCCACCAAUGAUCUGUCUCUUUAUCUAACAUAAAAGCUGCAUAAGAGGCUUUUUGCUCCUCAGAGCAAUCUAUGACACCAAAGAAUUUCUCCAUCUUAAGGAUCCAAGCCUCUGCCUCUGUGGGAUCUGUAGCACCAGAAAAGUAAGGAGGACCCAAUUUCUUGAAGUCAUCAAAAGAGCUACCCCUAGAAGAUGAAGACUGUCCCUGAACAUUAGUCCCAACAGCUCGAGCUUGGCGUUCAACUAAACCAACUAGUGUCCCAAGAUACCUAUAGAUCCCUUCUGCACUCACGGGAGGCAAACCCUCAAUUGGAGGUACAUCGUCAUUAGCCUGACUGUUUUGUGAAGAAGUUGUUCUUCUUGGUGGCAUGAUGUCCUAAAAUAAUAAGGCAUAACUAAAUUAGUCACUAAAGAACCAAUUAGAAAAUUUUCCAAUUAAAGAAAGAAUUGGAAUUUAUACUAAAUGAAACUAAAACUUAAACAAAUGCGUUACUCAUCUAUCCCUAAUCUAAACCAAUUCAAAUUCCCAUCAAGAUCAAAACCUAGUGCUCUGAUACCACUCUGUCACGCCCCAAGACCCACUCCAAGGGCGUGACGGUCAUUUCACACCUCAAACCCGAAGGCUUAAAGUAUAAUCUGACCCGAACAAUCAUAUUGUAACUAGAUGUUACCAAUUACCAAAUACCUGUUCAGAGUAGCGGAACAAAAUCUAAAUUCCUCAAAAUUCAAUUUCCAAAUAACUUCCAAAUAUCAAAGAUCCAAAUGAACAUAACUAACAGUUAAACAAAAUCCAACAUAAAAUCCUAAGUCAAAUCCUAAUGAUGACCAUUCUUCAGCCUAGCCAUCACUCCUCACCCGAACUAAGAGUACCUGAAAAUUUUCAACAAUUGGGAAUGAGUUCACAGCCCAAUAAGGAAUAUUAAUGCAAUUCAUGGAUCAAAUAUUUUCAUUUCAAAUAGGAGAUAUCAAUUUUUUUUUUUCUCAUCAAAUAUCAGAGUUCCAAAAAUACCAAUAUAUUCAAAAUUCAACCAACCAAUUUCAUAUCAAAUUCAAACACUUUCACAUAAGAUUCAAUCAAAUUCAUUCAAGUUUCAUUACUCUGGUUAUCAAAUAUCAAAUGCCCAGUUAGGUGAGACUUUUCAAAUGGGUGGCUAGCUUCAAAUUGUUCCUGGUGGACGAAACCAAACACUACUAGUACUAGUAACCUCUAACCAAACCCCUAGAGGCUGGGGUCCAAAUCAAUUACAUUCCCACCAUGAAAUGUAAAGGUCAACUAUUAUAUCUCGUUGACAGGGCCGAAUAGUCAACUAUUAUAUCCCGUUGACAAGGGUCAAAUAAACCAGAGUGAUGUUUUUGUUCAAGUAUUCAAAUGUACACAACAUAAUAUCUCCAUAUUUUGUGUCAUAAAUAAAACAAAAUAUUCCAACAUAACAUUUAGUGCAAAACAAUUUGAUCCAUGCAUGGUAACAAAAUAUCAUUUUCUUUUCCACAAUUCAAAAUAACAUAUAAGAUAAUUUAAUUUUAUAAAUAUUACAUUAACUUCCCUUACCUCAAAAGAAGUCCUUGAAAGCUUGGGAGAAGAAUAAUUCUGAAAAAAAAAUAUAAUCUACUCUUCACCUAAUAUAACAUAAAAGAAACAAUUAUUACUAUUUAUUUAUAAUUUAACUAAUCUAUUCCUUAUUUAAAAAAAAACUAAUAAAUUCCCAAUUUGUUUCUAAUAACACAUUACUAAUUUAAUUAAAUUAUAACUUUAUUUCGCUAUAAAAUUAUAUAUAUAUAUAUAUAUAUAUAUUGCUAAAUCUCUUAUUCUAUUUAUUACAAAAAUACCAUUAUUACUAUUAUCUUAUUUAUAAAUCUAAAACUAAUUAUUAUUAUUUAAUUAACCAAUUCCAAACCACUCAACCUCGGGUACACCAAACCAAAAAGCAAGUUUUUAUUUUUAUUUUUUAUUUUUUUUCAUUGCCAAUCAUGAUCCAUUAAUAUAUAUAUAUAUAUAUAAAAGGGGCUUCCUGGUACACGCACCUUUUUUUUUUAAUAAAAUUAACCCUAACCUAAAAUCAAAACCUUCCAAGAAAUUUUUUUUUUUUUCUAAUAAAACUUAAGAUCUCCCAAAUUCCAAUACUAAAAUCAAAAUAUUAAAUUUUCACUAUUUGAUAUUAAAACGAAUUAAAAAAAUAAUCUAACCCUAAUCUAGAUUUUGGGUUUUCCAAAAAAAUAUAUCUAAUGUGUUUGAAAUUAAUCAAUGAAUCUAAAAUAUUAAACUAGGGGUUAGAAUUUUACCUAUAGAGAUCUGUUCUUCAACCCUGAAAUCUGACUCCAAUCUUACGUUCUCUGGAAUUCUACGAACAAGAACUAUAUUCAGAAAAGAAGGGAAAAAAAUAAAAUUUCUAAUUUAUACCUAGGGUAUUUAUUCGUAAAAUUACACUUUUACCCUUCUUCCACUUUAUUAAAUUAAUUAAUUAAUUAAUUUAAUUAUUAAUAACAAUUUCCUAAAUUACCCUUAAAAGAAAAUGCUUGGGCGUUACAGAAACGGUGUUGAUCAUCCAAACCAUGAUUUUACCAGCAUCAGUUAAGAUGAGAUUGCCAUUCCUCAACAAAGAAAGCUUGGAGCCUCUACCGUUGACCGGUUGGUCAUGGUUCGCCAUCCAAACUGUGGUUGCACCCCAUGAUUUUGUGAACCAUAUGGCGAAGCAGAAAGUGUUGUUGCCGACCUGAUAAAACCCAGCAGAGAAUAUACCAUUUGCUGAAAUGAGAACAUCAUUUGAUUUCUCCACGGAAAGAGACGAGCCUUCGCUCAGAGUAUCAUACGUUUCAGAUGAAGAUGGAUAGCAAGUUAACAGCAAAACCAAAACAAAGAAACCAACUGUCCUAUCCAUGAGUUUUGGGAUAUGGUUCAUGUGCUCUGUUUCCUGAUCAGAUAUUUGCAAUGGAGAAUGCAAGUGUAUGGUGCUACCAGAGUUUAGAAAAUCAAUUGACUCCUUGACUGGGGUGAAGGGGGAAAAUUCACAUUGCCCCUCGGGCCAAGUUUUGCUUGUGCCAUCGUGUUGGGUUUCUAAAAGCAUUUCAUGUCAACGUCAAAAUAUGGGAUGAAGACCCGCUAUUUUUAAUGGGAUCUAUUUUGAUUGGAUGACUUGGGCCAUUCAAAUUUUGUAGUUUCCACUUGGAACAACAAAAUUAUUAUGAGAUACGUCAUUUUGAAGAAAGAUUCUAGAAAUAAGAUGUUAAAUUGAUCUCUUUUCCAUGUAGCUGAACUCGUCAACUGUGAGUCUGAGCCAUAUGAUUUCUGUGCCAUACAGAAGCUUAUUGUUCCAAGUUGCCUGCUCAAAGGUUAACCUGUGAACAGUUUGGAUCUAAAUACAAUGAAUGUGAUGAAAUUUACUGAAACCGGGACUCUCUGACUGGCCUGUGGCCUUUAUGAGUUUUAUUUUAGAGGUGACGUCUGAUGUUGAUUGGCCCAAGCAGGGAAAGAUCAAAUGGGAAACGACGGUCACAACUUGUGGGGUGACUUUCCACUCACCAGGGAACACUUCAAAGAAAUUAUCCCUAAUUUUUAAACGCUUAAUUAUUGCGAUUCGAGGGGUAAAACAUUUUCUUUUAUUGAAUCAAGAUUGAAUUUAAAAUAAUAGUGUUGGUAUUACUCCCUCUCUUUUAUCCUUUUCUUAUUCUAUCUAAUAGUGGUUUUCUCGCCGCCUUUGUGGGCCAAGAUGAACUAAUGCUAAGAAUUUUAUUCAUCUGCUUUCUUUCAAGACUCACUUAUUGAAUAUAAUAUCUCAAUAAAUAUAGAACCAUAUUUUGAUUAUAUUGGUACAAUUAUUGAUACAACUGUUGGCUCCGCUCAAGUCAUUUUGGCGUGGACUUUUAGGGUAUGGUAGAGUGGAGCUUGUAUCACUACUAAUUAUUAAAAUGGUUAAAGGAUGUCUUUGUCAUUUUAGUGCACAUAUAAUUAUUAUUACAAUUGAGGGUCCUCCAAUAUCCCAUUUUUCCAAUUUUGACUUUUGAUCGGAAAAAAUUUAGUAUACAAGGAUAGGAAAAUAUGCUAAAUAAAAUAAUUUUCUCAUAUUUAGGUUUAUUAAAAAUUAUAAAAAAUAAUAUAAUAUAAUAUAAUUAAAAAGUUAUGUAUUUUUAAAUUAGAUAAUUUUUUUAUAAAACAAUUAAAAUAAGUUAAAUGAGUUUGAAAUUCCAUAUAAAAAUAAUUUAUUGAUUUAAAAUCUAUUUUUAUUUCCUUUAACUUUUUUUCAUAUAUUUUUUUUUUGAAUUUUUCAAAUACUUCAAACAGCUAUUUUUAAGUUUGUAUCUUUGUGAAACUCGUGUAAUCGUGACCCAUGAGAACCUUCAAGUCAUUUUGAUUAUAUUGGUACAAUUAUUGGUACAACUGUUGGCUCCGCUCAAGUCAUUUUGGCGUGGACUUUUAGGUUAUGGUUGAGUGGAGCUUGUAUCACUACUAAUUAUUAAUAUGGUUAAAGGAUGUCUUUGUCAUUUUAGUGCACAUAUAAUUAUUAUUACAAUUGAGGGUCCUCCAAUAUCCCAUAUUUCCAAUUUUGAUUUUUCAAGGUAUGAUCGGAAAAAAUUUAGUAUACAAGGAUAGGAAAAUAUGUUAAAUAAAAUAAUUUUCUUAUAUUUAGUUUUAUUAAAAAUUGUAAAAAAUAAUAUAAUAUAAUAUAAUUAAAAAGUUAUGUAUUUUUAAAUUAGGUAAUUUUUUUAUAAAACAAUUAAAAUAAGUUAAAUGAGUUUGAAAUUUUAUAGAAAAUUAAUUUAUUGAUUUAAAAUCUAUUUUUAUUUUCUUUAACUUUUUUUCAUAUAUAUUUUUUUUUUUGUAUUUUUCAAAUACUUCAAGUAGCACCCCAUUUCCUAUUUUCAAGUUUGUAUCUUCGUGAAACUCAUGUAAUCGUGACCCAUGAGAACCUUCAAGUCAUUUUGAUUAUAUUGGUACAAUUAUUGGUACAACUGUUGGCCCCGCUCAAGUCAUUUUGGCGCGGACUUUUAGGGUAUGGUUGAGUGGAGCUUGUAUAACUACUAAUUAUUAAUAUGGUUAAAGGGUGUCUUUGUCAUUUUAGUGCACAUAUAAUUAUUAUUACAAUUGAGGGUCCUCCAAUAUCCCAUUUUUCCAAUUUUGACUUUUCAAGGUCUGAUCGGAAAAAAUUUAGUAUACAGAGAAAAUAUGAUAAAUAAAAUAAUUUUUUCAUAUUUAGUUUUAUUAAAAAUUGUAAAAAAAUAUAUAUAUAAUUAAAAAGUUAUGUAUUUUUAAAUUAGGUAAUUUUUUUUUAUAAAACAAUUAAAAUAAGUUAUAUGAGUUUGAAACUCCAUAUAAAAAUAAUUUAUUAAUUUAAAAUUUAUUUUUAUUUCCUUUAACUUUUUUUCUUAUAUUUUCUUUCGUAUUUUCCAAAUAUUUCAAAUAGCACUCUAUUCCCAUUUUCAAGUUUGUAUCUUUGUGAAACUCAUUUAAUCGUGACCCAUGAGAACCUUCCCAUAACUACAAAGGAAGGUGGCAACAUAUCAUUGGGAGAGUGUCUUAAGAGCCAAAAUUUGACUAGCGGUUGAAAGGAAAAUGCACAAUUAUUGUAGUGGACAAAUACUUUUAACCUCAUUUGUGGAAGCUAGGUUGUUUUUACAAGGGAAACUUGUGUUCCAAGUUAGAUAUUUGAAAGUAAUAUUAUAUUCAAACCCCAAUUAGCUGGAAUAUGAGAUUUGACUAUUAAAAGAGAAAAUAUUAUUGUGUUUGUGCAUUCUAAGUUGGCUCUAUCUUCUAUGCCCAAAUUGCCCUUUUGUUUCUCUAGCUCAACAUCAUCCUAACCUCUUUGUCAACAGGACCACUAAAAUUAAGAAAAAACACUAAAUUUUGAAUUUUUAACUUCUAAAAAAAAAAACACCCGACCCGACCACUUAAUUUGAAUGUUUUCCUUUCUCAUUUGGAAGCUUUCUCUCAUCUUUCUUCAUUCAUGACAACCCAAAAUUUCUCCUAUUUCAAUUUAGAAACCCAAAUCUGAAACUCUAAAACGGUGUCAAAAUGCGUCUUUUGACGUGCCUCUGGCUCAGAUGCCUCAGCUAGGCGUUUGCCUUGAGCCCUAACCGUAGUUAACUCUCGUCUAGGAGCCACGAGAGUGCAAGAGAAUCCAAUAAAAAUGAAAUGGAGCUCGGGUGGAGAGUAGAUGCCCAAAAACUGAAACCUUAACCUCCAAAUGCGUCUUAGACUCGCAAAUUCAUAUCCAAGAUAGUUCUAUAAGACAGAAAUAGCACCAAACAUCUCUUUUAGACCACCGAAUCGACGAAGCCCUUGAAGAACCAAAGGAAACGGUGCAAAAAAUGAAGCGCGGGAAACUCUUAAAGUAUUGGGUCUUGACAAAAAGAAUAUUAAGAAAAAUAGGUUUUUAAUAUCUUAUUUUAGUAUAAAAAUAAAAAAAUAAGAUAUAAUUAAAAACUUGUAUAUUUUUAAAUUAUUUGAUAUUUAUAUAAAAAAUAAUAUAUUAACUUAAAUAAGUUUAAGAUAGCAUAUAAAAUAAUUUAUCAGCUUUAAAUUUUUUUUUUACUUUUACAUGAUACUUAAAAAGGAAUAUAAAUAGAGAAACAAUAUACUAAAUAAAAUAAUUUUAUCUAUAUAUAAAAAUAAUUUAUUAAUUUAAAAUCUAUUUUUAUUUCCUUUUAACCUUUCUUUCCUUUUUUUUUUUUUUUUUCCAUAUUUUCCAAAUACUUCACAUAGCACUCCACUCCCUAUUUUUUUUUUCUCUCUAAAUUUCAGAAACCAAACAUAAAAUACAAACACUGGUGUAAAGUUUGUAUCUUUGUGAAACUCAUGUAAUCUUGACCCAUAGGAACCUUCCCAUAUAAUUAAAGGAGAAUUACCCAAUAGGGUGGGCUUGGUAAAACAAUUACUAGAAAUGGUAGUCUCUUCUAAUAAUUCUUGGGGAGGAUUUUAAUAGGUUUAAUAUACCAAAACUGUCAUUUAACUAAAAUUUUUAAAAUUCAAAGUAUUUAAAGCACUUCACUUGAUUUGUCGAUACAAUUAUAGUACAUGAGUCUCAUAUUUAUUGUAAUUAUUAAUAUUCAAAUUUUAAAUCAAAAUUUUGGGUUUAACCUUUACAAUUAUAUAUAAUUUGUUAUUUAAAUUUACUAUUUAAAACAAAAAUACUUUUAAAAAGUAUUUUCAAAAUAUCAUUUAUUGUUUUUUUUACAUUUUUUAUUUUUAUUCUAAUUUUUAAUUUUAUUAAGAAAAAAAUAAGUUUUAUAAUUAUAUAAUAAAAAUGAUGAUUUUUUCAUAUAUAUAUAUGUAUAUAUUAUAAUUUUAAAUUGAUAAAUUAUGUUUUUGUUUUAAAUUCAAGGAAGAUAAAAUGUUUAAUUUUUCAUUCAGAUUCUUUAAAAAGAAUAAGAAAAUGAUAGAGAAUGUUUAAUAAUUUUUUAUUUUUAUAAUAAAAUAAUUUUAAAAAAUUUAUAUGAUUUUUUUUCCUUUGCAUAGUGUUUUUUUUUUUUUCAUAUAAAAUUUUUUUUCUCAGUACAUCGACUGGAUGAUGUUAAUAUAUUUGAUAUGUUGAAUAUUAAUAAGGUAUAAAAGGUGAUCAUCGAGAUUAUUACUUUUAUUAUAAAAUAUAGGUACAACAAAAAUAUGUUAUAAUUACCAUAUAAAUACACUUACAUUACAAUAAAACCUAAUUAGGAAAUUUUUGAAUUUUUUUAUAAAAAUGAUAAUUUGGUAAGAUCAUACCAUAUUUUAUAACAUACCUAUAUCAUAAAUAAUUUCUGAAACCAAAUGAAAUACUAAUUUGAAUUCACGAGACUUGUAGUUUAUAUAUAUAAAUGAUUAAAUAAUUUCAAAACACUAAAUAAAUGUUGUUAAUAUAUUGAUACGAUGCGUUAAUACCAACGGGGUAUGAAUAAACAUUUUUAAAAUUAUUCCUUUUGUAAUUAAAUAUAGAUAUGACAUAAAUACAUUAUACUUACAAUAUAAAUACGUGUUAUCAUUACAAUAUAUUACAAUAUAAUUUAAUUUAUUUUUAUUUAAUUUUUUCAAGUGUUAUAUUAUCCAAUGAAUAAUUGUGAGUUAUUCUAUUUAAUAGGUGUGUGUUAAUCAAUUGAAUAUUUACAUAUUAUUCAAUUGAUGAGUGCUCGUAAAAAAUAAUUAUUCAUUAUAUUAUGAUAACAAAGUUUUUAAUUAUAUGUUUUAUAUAUAAAACAAUAUAAUAAUUUUAGGAUAUGGUUUUUAUUUAUGAGAUAAUGAAAAUUAUAUUUUUUUAUAAGGUUCUUUAUAAAAUAUAGCAAAUUUUUAAAUAAUCAUUUGAUUGUUCAAAAGUUAAUAAUAAUUUUUUUAAGCUGAGAAAUAUAUUAUUGAUUACUUAUCAUCAUGCAUGAAUUCCACAACAAUCUCAAUUUAUUUAUAAAUAAUAUAAAAACAUAUUAUAGGUAAAAUUAUCUAUAACCGAGAGAGCCUUCAUAAUAAUUAGUUUUUUGGGCUACCCUGUUCGGUAAUUCUCCGUACAAUUAAUUUCCAGCAAAGGCAGGUGAGUGUUGAGGAGACAAAAUCUGACCCGCUGUUGAAGGGAAAAUGCACAAUUAUUGAAGUGGACGGAAACUUUUAACCUUAUCUGUGGAAGCUGGGUCGUUUUUCAAAACACGAGGCUGCAGCUUGGAACCUGGGGCAUUCUAGCUUUCAUCUUCCCAUGGGAAUUUCUACCCUCCGCACAAGUCAAGAGCAACUUUGUCUUUUCCAUAAAUAUUAGUAUUAUUUGUGUGUUCCUUACCUGAAUUUGAUUCAAGCUUAGCCCUACGGCCUUUUCAACUGAUCCAAUUUCAUAGAUCACAUGGAUGCGCCAGUUCUUUUGCUUCUUCUCACUCUGCUUCUAUCUUCUCCACUUCCAUCGUCCACCCUCGACAGUUUGAGUCAAGGCUCAUCCCUCUCAGUUGGGAAGCCUGAACAAGUUUUGAUUUCACAAAGUGGAAUCUUCUCAGCUGGCUUCUACCCCGUCGGUGAUAAUGCUUGUUGUCUUGCCAUAUGGUUCACCAAACCAUCCUACGACGGCAAACAUACCGCUGUUUGGAUGGCAAACCGAAACCAACCAGUUAAUGGGAAUUUCUCAAAGCUUUCCCUUCUAGAAAGUGGUGAUCUUAUCUUAACAGAUGCUGGGCGGUUCAUAGUUUGGACCAUAAAGAGGGUUGGGAUUUCUCCGGUGCAAUUACACCUCUUCAACACUGGUAACCUUGUGCUGCGUACCUCGGAUGGUGUUAUUCAAUGGCAAAGUUUCGAUUCACCAACAGAUACCCUUCUCCCUCACCAACCACUCACCAGAAAUACGAGACUCGUCUCUUCAAGAACCAAAACCAACUUUUUCUCAGGGUUUUAUAAGCUCUAUUUUGACAACAAUAACGUCCUCAGUCUUGUCUUCGAUGGGCGGGAUGCUUCAAGCAUUUACUGGCCCCCAUCGUGGCUUGUAAGCUGGCAGGCGGGAAGAUCGGCAUACAACAGCAGCAGAACUGCAUUACUAGAUUACUUUGGCUAUUUUUCUUCAACCGACGAUUUUAAGUUUCAGUCCUCGGAUUUUGGUGAGAGAGUCCAAAGAAGAUUGACCCUGGAUAUUGAUGGCAACUUACGAUUAUACAGUUUUGAGGAAGGGAGAAAUAAGUGGGUUGUUACUUGGCAAGCCAUCACGCUACAAUGCAACAUUCAUGGAAUAUGCGGACCCAACAGUAUUUGUACCUAUGUGCCUGGUUCUGGGAGUGGAAGGAGAUGCUCUUGCGUACCUGGAUAUGAGAUGAAAAAUCGCACUGACCGAACUUAUGGAUGCAUACCAAAAUUCAAUCUUUCUUGCGACUCACAGAAGGUUGGUUUCCUCCCACUCCCACACGUUGAGUUCUACGGCUAUGAUUAUGGCUAUUACCUCAAUUACACCUUACAGAUGUGUGAAAAACUGUGCUUGAAAAUAUGUGGCUGCAUAGGAUAUCAAUACAGCUAUAAUUCGGAUGUUUAUAAAUGUUGUCCUAAGCGGCUGUUUCUCAACGGAUGCCGCUCGCCUAGUUUUGGAGGACAUACAUAUCUAAAAUUGCCUAAAGCUAGUCUUCUUUCCUAUGAAAAACCAGUUGAGGAAUUCAUGUUAGAUUGCUCAGGCAACCGCUCAGAGCAGCUAGUAAGAUCUUAUGCAAAAGCCCGCGAAAAUGAAGUGUUAAAGUUCAUCCUCUGGUUUACGUGCGCAAUUGGAGCAGUUGAGAUGAUUUGCAUCAGUAUGGUGUGGUGUUUCUUGAUGAAGGCCCAGCAAAACACCAGUACAGAUCCGCCAGGCUACAUUUUAGCUGCCACGGGAUUCAGAAAAUUCACCUAUAUUGAGCUGAAGAAAGCAACACGGGGUUUCAGUGAGGAGAUUGGCAGAGGAGGGGGUGGGGUUGUAUAUAAAGGUGUCUUAUCAGACCACCGAGUGGCAGCCAUCAAGCAGCUCAGUGGAGCUAACCAAGGAGAAUCUGAAUUCUUGGCAGAAGUAAGUACCAUUGGGAGGCUUAACCACAUGAACUUGAUAGAGAUGUGGGGUUAUUGCUUUGAGGGGAAGCACAGGCUCUUGGUUUAUGAAUACAUGGAGCAUGGAUCACUAGCACAAAACCUCACUUCCAAUACACUUGAUUGGCAGAAGAGGUUCGAUAUUGCGGUGGGCACAGCAAAAGGUCUGGCUUAUUUACACGAAGAGUGCUUGGAGUGGGUUAUACACUGCGAUGUGAAGCCUCAAAACAUACUCCUAGACUCUAAUUAUCAGCCAAAGGUGGCAGACUUCGGCCUGUCAAAGUUACAGAACAGAGGAGGAAUCAACAAUUCGAGAUUGUCGAGGAUCAGAGGAACGAGAGGUUACAUGGCUCCAGAAUGGGUUUUGAACCUCCCCAUCACCUCCAAAGUAGACGUUUAUAGCUAUGGUAUUGUGGUUCUGGAGAUGAUUACCGGCCUAAGAAGUGUUGCAAAUGCCAUCCACGGUACAGAUGGCAUAGGGGAACGUCAGAGUUUGGUGGCAUGGGUGAAAGGGAAGAUGAAUAGUGCAACUGCAGUUGCUUCGUGGAUUGAAGAAAUCCUAGACCCGUCGAUGGAAAGCCAAUAUGACAUGGGUGAGAUGGAAAUUCUAGUAGCAGUGGCUCUGCAAUGUGUGGAAUUGGACAAGGAUGAAAGACCCACCAUGAGUCAGGUGGUCGAGACGCUUCUCCGCCCUGAACGUGGAAACAAUCAUCACUAUUAAUAAAUCAAUGCCUCGUAUGGGGCCCAAGUGAAGUGGCUUUCUAUACCUAUUCCGCCCAUUUAUGAUAUUUGUAAAAAAACAGAGUAAUUUUAUUCCCAAUAUCUCUCCUUGGUGCUCUUAUCUUAUUAAACUCCUUUUUUUUUUUUUGCAAUAUUAACUAUUAUAUUUUAUAAAAUCCUUUUUAAAAUUUGUUGAAUUUGAUCUAUUUUAUCCUCACAUAAUUUGUAGCAGGAGAAGUUUUUCUCCUCAUCAUAGAACAAAUUCUUAUAUAUGUAGUAUACAUAUAUGAAAGGUAUAAAUGGUUUUAGCUUUAGUUGAUAUCAUAUAAUUUCUCAUUGAAUCUAUUCUAAUGUGACUUUAAAAUUUUUCAAAAUAUAAAUCAAUUCCUCUUCCUUUGUGUGUUAGUGAAUGAAUUAGUUUAAAUGUCAUAGGUUUUGACUUUUUAGACAGCUAUUUAACCUAUUUUAAAUAGCUCUGCAUCACACCAUCACUUCAACCUUCCUUGACAUUUUUUUAUUUAUUUAUUUUAAUUACCUUUGGAUGGUAUCAUUGCUCGGAAAAAUUUGAUGAAUGUAAAAGGGAAAUGGAAAAUCGUGGGGCACACAUACAUUAUGGAGUCAAAAUCUUUGAAAGAUGUAAAAUUGUCGUGCAAUUCAAUCUAAUGUAGAUGGACAAAAAUGUCAUCUUAUUGAUCAAGCAUAGAUGGAAAAUCAAAUGAAUGAGCCACCCUGCAAAUGUUUAUUUUCAAGUAUUUCUUUUUUUUUUUCAACUUAAGACCUCUUUUUGGAAAUUUAUUAUUAAAAAUAUUUUAAUCUCUAAUUUUUUAUAAGUGUCUUUUCAUAAGCAUGUUGAUUAGAAAGAAACAAAAAUAUAUUUUUAAAUUAUUUAAUCUAACACAAGAAAGACAAGUAAAAUUUUAUAAAAAUAAUUUAUUAAUUUUAAAUUUAUAUUUUAUUUUCAUUCAUUUGACAUACCUUCAAUAAUUAGUAUAAAUUAAUAUAAAUGUUUUAUAUAAUUCGUUUACAUGCAUUGUAUAUUAUGUACAAACAGGAACAAAAUGAAUGAGCCACUGUAUGUGACAAAUAAAUACAUUUUUAUAAAAUCUAAAUUUAAUUUUAUAGUAUAUGACAUGGAUUCUGGCGUCAUCUUCCACAUCACUGAACUUCUUCUUUACCUAUUUCAUUGUUCUCUGCUUCCAACGCUUCCCACUAUGAACGUCUCUAGAAAAAACUGUCCGGUGUGGCUCUCCUCUUGGCUCUACCACAGUUGAGAUUUUCGGCUUGAUGCCUUCGCUCUAUCUCAGGUGGUCGGCUUUGGAGCAUGGAUGGCUGCAGAUCUGCCAAGUUGUUGGCCAUGAAUCUCCCGAAUCCACUUGCUGCUAACCGUUUGUAUUAUUCAAUUGUUGAAGGCCGAUUUGAGUUGAAAGGCCAAUGGGCCAUGGGAAGCAAUGGUUGCUUCACCCAAUUUUUUAAAAUUCGUUUUAAGUAAUACCAAAAUUUUUAUUGUAUGAAGUAUUGAUGUUAUUAUUAUCUUUUCAUAUUGAUUUUAUUUUUUAAUUUUUUUUUCUUAGGAUUUUUUUUCUUUUCACUUUUUCUCCCACCUUUCUUUUAUUUAUAUUUUCUCAUAAUCAAAUAUGGCCUUAAAUUUAAUCGCAAGCAAAGUGUUAUGUAGACAAUUAAUAUGUUCUUACUAUUUUGCUUUUAUGGCCAUUAAAUUUAAGGACUUCAGGUGAUGGCAAUAGGGUGAUUUUUUUUAGGUAAUAGUCCAACCUGCUUCUAAUAGGAUGAGUUUGAAAUUUAAAUAAAUGAGUUUGAAGUAAAUUUAAGUUUUUUUAAACUCAAAAUGAGUUUGGAUAUUGUCACAUCCCAAUUAUAUAUAAAAUUAAUUUAAUUUGAUUUUUUAUUUUUUUAUUUUUAAUAAUAAUAAUAAUAAAAAAAUACUUUUUUAAUAAAAUAAGUUAUAAAAAUUUAUAAUAAUCUAAUUAUAUAAAAUAUCUUUAUUUUAAUGUAAUUAAAUACUCUAAUAAGUUAUAAAAAUUUAUAAUACUCUAAUUAUAUAAAAUACAUUUUAAAUAAUUUUAAAUGAGGUAAGGUAGGACGAGUAUGAGAAUUUUUUUUACCUAUCCCACCCCGUCCUGUCAUGUUUAAUUUUUUUAAUGGUACAAGGUUGGAAUAUGUGCUUUCUAUUCUAAACCGGUCUCAUUAUCAUCCCUUCAUGUGUCUGCAUGAAUAUAAGAUAUUAGUGAAAAGUUUGAAGUAUGAUAUUAAAAAUUCAAUUCACCAUUUAUUUUGUAAUUAUACUUCUAAAUAUAAGCAUGAAAGGGCGAAUUGACAUAAUAGAAGGCCUAACUGCUCAUGUUUUUAUUUAUUUAAAUUAAUAUUUAUUAAUAAUUUAUUUAUGUAAUAAAAAAUUUGUAAUUCAAAAUUUGAUUUUACUAAGUGAAGUACCUGAUGUCCAGAACUGGAGGAACCUAAAGAAAGAGAAGAACAAAAAGUGACACCAAGACAUAUCCCAAAAGCCUAAUGGCCCAUCCCCCUACAAAUUCUAGCUUUAUAAUUAUUGUCCUAAAAGAAAAAGAUGAACAAGUGUUUUUUCGUCAUAUAAUGUUAAAAAAUUAAAGUAUCAAUUUUUUUUUUUUAAACUUUCUACCAAAAAUAAUUUAAUUUCAUAUUUCUAAUUGUUUUUUUUAAACCUUUUGUCACUUAUUAUUUAUUUUUUAAAUAUUUUUACUAAAUUUAAAAAGAAAAAAAUAUAUAUAUUUUAAAUAUUAAAAAUAAUCUAUUAAUUUUUCUUUACUUAAUAAAAAUAAUAUAUUUAAAAAAAUAAAUAACUUAAUAAUUAAUAUUAUUAAACACUAUUUAAUUUUAAAUUCAAUUUACAAUUAAGUUUAAAAAACACCACUUAAAUGUCAUUAUUGCAACGGACAACAACAUUAACUCUACUCUUUUAUAAAAUCUUUUAUUUUAGGAAAUUUUAAUUUCCAAAUGAAGUAGUUAAGAGAAAAAUAAACAUUGUGGUUGAACUUAAUCGAAAUAAAUAAACCAUAAAAAAACACUUGAAUGGAUUAAGGACCCUUUUUUUACGCCAAGGUGGUGGUGAUAUAUUGAUUUGAGUAAGAAUUUUAUAAUUUCCCAAAAGAAAGAUAAAGUGGAAAAGCAACAUUUAUUAAAAGAUAGAUACAUUAGAAUAUCAUAUCUAAAUUUAGUAUUUUUCUUUUCUCUUCUUUAUAAAACUAAAUAAUAGAAAUCAAAUACUUUUUCCAACUUCUCGUACUGAACCGUUUCGUUUUUCAUUUCAUCUAAUUUUACCUUCAAUUCAUUUCUUUCCUAUUUUAUUUCUUGAAACAUGUAUUGACUAAAACCUCUGUACCAAUGUUUCAGGACAUGAAGAGGUAGCCAUCCUGCUCCGCCCUCUCCUCCGGGCACAUAAGCUUCUCAACUACCUGGCUCAUCGUGGGUCUUGAGUCCCUGUCUUCCUCUACACAUUCCAAGGCAACUCCAAUCAGAAUUUCCAUCUGGCGCAUGUCGCAUUCGCCUUGCAUCACAGGGUCCAGGAUGUCUUCAAUCCACGACCCCCUGGCACCAAUCCCAUUCAUUCGAUCCCUCAUCCAUUUAAUCAACCC